rnacentral:lncRNA from 1 species
GGCUGAUGUAAAUCUGUUGUGGGGAAAUUGAUAUCUAAUAUUGUGUUGCCAUGGCAAUGUGUCAAAAUUGAAUAUUCUGUUCUGGUGAUUUUGAGGCAGAUAACAUGCUCAGAAUUACAUGAAACUUAAAACACAUAUCAGUAUUAAUGACAGAUAGAACAUGGCAAAAGUUCAUAAAAGGGCGUGGAGGGGGCACUCUAUAGAGCCACCUUUUGUCAAAAAAGGGGGGUUAGUUUUAGCUACAGACACCAAACUCGGUACAUAUAUUGUUCUUAUCAAGACGGACAACUUUCUAAUUUACAGUCAUUAGCUACGACCAACAGGAAGUUGGCUAUUUUGGUUUAAAUGUGGAUUUUUGGAAAAAUAUUGCUGUGAAUUAAUGCAUACUGCUCAGAGGAGAAGUACACUAUACACACCAAACUUUUUCUACAUGAUGCCAAAACACUGAGGAACUUAAAUGGCGAAUGGAUUUUGGAGAGGUUGAACGGUUUGCAGUGGUGAUUUUUUGAAAUUACAGUAAAAAGGGAAACAUUAAUUGUCUUGUAUUUUUAAACUGCAGCUUGCAAACACUUCAAAACAAUUUUUCAUGCAUAGAACAAGUCAUUCUGAGGAAAUAUGCAUAGUUUCACGAUUUUACAACACUGUAUGGAUAACAGAAGAUUAAAAACUGUCAGACAUCUGAUCUCACUCUGAGGCCACUCUCUCUGUGUGAGGGAAAGGGGGGGGAGGGGGGUGUUGUGGGCCUGGCUGACAGAGAGAGAGAGAGAGAGAGAGGAGGGAGGAAGAGAGAGAGAGAGAGAGAGAGAGAGAGGGGACAGAGAGACACAGAGAGAGAGUUUAACAUCUCUUUAAAUCACCAGGAAAAUUCAAGUAAUUGUGUGUUUUUCUUGUUGUUGUUUUUUUUUGUAGGGCUCAGACAACAUGAUUUUAUAUUAUUAGGUUAAAAAUUAUGUUAAUUGCAACAUAAAAAGAUUUAAAAAAAACGUAGGACUUUACAAAUGCUUAUAGAUCAAUAAAAUCAUUAAAAAUGCUUUUUCGCCGAGUGCAUAAUAAUUAGUCACAUUGAUAUUCUGGUGAUAUUUUUUUUCCAAGCACAUUUUACCAAUUCCAAAUCACAUCAAUCUUAAAAAUACUAUACACUAUA